rnacentral:lncRNA from 1 species
GCCAACUUUUUUACUAAGUAUCUAGUAUGCUAACAGGUUAAAGCGGAGCAUCAACACCAGGCGGACUACUUCAGCCAUUACCGAUCCCAGAGUGAGAGUGAGAACAUAUCACAAUGAAUUUCAUAAAAGGGUUGCCUAAAACAAGCUCAGGAUAUGAUGCCAUUUGGGUAAUUGUUAAUUGACUCACUAAGUCUUCUAACUUAUUGGCUAU